GGGGGAGGAAGAGAAAGCCACUGAGCAGACCAAAGGAGGAGGGAGGUGAGCAGGAGCAAGUGAGGAGAAGGAGGGUACCCGCCCUGUAGGGGAGGGCAGUGUGGGCAUUGAGGCAUCAGGUGGCCUCACCCAGCAACUCUGGCUUCUUGUUGGACAGGAUCUGGUAGAAGAUGUGGUAGUUUCUCUCAGCCUUCAGCUGGAAGAUCACCCGAGACUUCUCCAGGAGAUCUGAAGUGCGGAGAUGGGGGGAAGGCAGGAAAACAGAGAAAAGGAUGCUUAUUCCCCUAUUACCAAAUAUCUCUGAGCAGAAACAACAACAUGGGAAUGAAGUCUUCCCUGCACCGGAUUCUCCACUGGAGGCAACAGGGACCCAUCAGAACCCAAGAUCCCCUCUGUGCUCCAUUCAGAGUUCAGCACUGCACCCUCCUCCCUCAGAAUCCUGGCCAUCUAACCUCCUCCACUGGGGUCUUGCAGAGUUUGCAUAUCAUUGAAUCAGCCUGGAUCCUCCCCAAGUCCCUGUGUGGGUAGAUGGCAUUUGCUCACGUGAUGAGGAUGGACUGGUUCUCCCUAUCUGGAAGAGGAAAGAAGAAAGGCAACAGAGUCAGGACCCCUCUGAGGCCAAAACCAGUGGAGGUCCCCCCAUCCCCGCCCCAGCAUCCUCUCUGGCAAAGGAUGUGCAUCCCUGGGAUGGUGCCCUGUUACAUCUGCUCAGGUCCAUCUGAGAAAGCAGUGACCUUGCCCCCUUCCCGGGACAGGAUCUUGGCCUUCACAAACUCCUCCUUGUCGUCGGGCACAAAGCACUCAGUGCGGAUAUCGAAGGGCCGGGUCUGGGCCUCCAGACGCUCCUUCUCUGAUUUGCGGAG